AUCUGUGGCUUGAAAUAGCAUUUUUUCCUUUUCAGCAUUGCCGGUUAAAGAAAUCCAGGCCUCUAAGAGAGGCUGGGACAGAAGCGAGUACUAACUGGCAAGACCAUGGCAAGAAUGCUGCUGGAUAAAGUUGAAGGCGGAAAACCUGCCCGUAAUGACAUUGUGCUCUGUGUUUAGUUACUGUCAGAUAUCCUUCAGGCAUUGUCUCUAAGGACACUUGGAGACUACAGAGGUUCUAAACUUUAAUAAUAUCUCCCAUGGAAGUACCAUCCCAUGCAAAUUAAUUGUCAUGGGGUAACAUUAUUCAAACUGGGAACUCUAAUUUCCAAAUAUUAUACAAAGUUUGAUCAGUGGGCACAGCUAUUCUGUGAUAAAUAAGUUUAUUUCUGUCUCUUCUUUUGACCAAAGGAAAAAUCAAGUCAAUGACCUUUGUAGAUACCUUGUUUAGAAUAAGACGUAAAAGAUUUUGUACUAUCAUGUCUGAGAGAUUUUUUUUUGAUUAGCUAGAAAUCUUUGGAAUAGGUAAUCUUUCAUCAGAGAAAUGAGGAAUCAUCUUAGUUUCAAGGCUUCCUUAUAGUGAGCCAUAUUUUAAACUCCGCAGAGCCUAAAUUUCUGUGUCUGUAAAAUACAAAUAAUACUGCCAUAACAUCUUAGUGAUAGAAGAAUUAAAUAGUGUCUGACAUAUGGUAAAUGCUCAGUAAAUCUUAACUCUGUAUAUAUACCUACAAAUAAAUCACACAGUUAUUGCCCCAUAUGCCCGAGUCCCUCUCUUAGUGUCUUGCCUCCUAAGAAGCACCAUAUUUCACACAUAGGUGGCG
rnacentral:lncRNA from 1 species